UGGUGCUGAUAGACGAGGAGGAGCGGC
rnacentral:piRNA from 1 species